AAGAGCCAGUAGGAGAUAGAAAUUUAACUUGGCGCUAUAGAGAAAGUACCGCAAGGGAAAGAUGAAAGAUAGAAUUAAAAGCACCGUACAGCAAAGAUUACCCCUUGUACCUUUUGCAUAAUGAAUUAGCUAGAAUAACCUAACAAAGAGAACUUCAGCUAGGUCUCCCGAAACCAGACGAGCUACCCAUGAACAAUCUACCACAGGAUGAACUCGUCUAUGUUGCAAAAUAGUGAGAAGAUUUGUGGGUAGAGGUGAAAAGCCUAACGAGCCUGGUGAUAGCUGGUUGCCCAGAACAGAAUCUUAGUUCAACUUUAAACUUACCUCAAAAACCCUA